AGAACGAACGCUGGCGGCAUGCCUAACACAUGCAAGUCGAACGAGACCCCAACUUCGGUUGGACGUCUAGUGGCGCACGGGUGCGUAACGCGUGGGAAUCUGCCCUUCGGUUCGGAAUAACUCGGAGAAAUCCGUGCUAAUACCGGAUAGUGACGUAAGUCCAAAGAUUUAUCGCCGAGGGAUGAGCCCGCGUAGGAUUAGCUUGUUGGUGAGGUAAAGGCUCACCAAGGCGACGAUCCUUAGCUGGUCUGAGAGGAUGAUCAGCCACACUGGGACUGAGACACGGCCCAGACUCCUACGGGAGGCAGCAGUGGGGAAUAUUGGACAAUGGGCAAAGCCUGAUCCAGCAAUGCCGCGUGAGUGAUGAAGGCCUUAGGGUGUAAAGCUCUUUACCCGGGAUGAUAAUGACAGUACCGGAGAAUAAGCUCGGCUAACUCCGUGCCAGCAGCCGC
rnacentral:rRNA from 1 species